GUCAUAUUUAUUUGGAACUCAGGGCAUUGCCUUCUGGAAGAGUGUGUGAAAUAAAAUGUGUUGUCUCUCUGCCUGCCUGCCUCUCCUAGGGAGUUUCCCAGGAGGAACAGCCCUGCAAAAAGGACUAUAAAUCUGAUGUUAUGACUCUGGUUUCCAGUGCCAAGAACAGUCCUCAAGGUCCAGAGCUGACACCUGCAGGAGCCUGUGCUGGGGCAACUUCUGAGUUCUUCUUCUUUUUAUUGAAGAUUACAUUUCUUUCCAUGAAGAUAAAUGCAUGGAAGGCACUGCCAGGGGGAGAACAGCACUCAGCUGAGGAGUCAGCUCUGCUCCAUCAACAUCUGUUUCAUCUGCUUGUGGUGCUCUCCUUUCUGUGCUGGACUCCUGAAUAGACCCUGAAAUGCAAACAAUUGCUGAUCAUGCUGCUGCCUCUGAUAACAUAACUCAUGAUGUUGCCCUAAUUACUUACAUUAUACAACUGUCAGGUCUGGAACAUUUGGUCUCUUAAGGCAGCUCUCCAAUUAAUCUCCUCCUUUUUAUUAGAGAUCUUGUUAUGUGAUUCUCUUUUGGGGAGGAAUUAGAAGGUUUUAU